rnacentral:rRNA from 1 species
CCUACGGGGGGCUGCAGUGGGGAAUAUUGGACAAUGGGCGAAAGCCUGAUCCAGCCAUGCCGCGUGUGUGAAGAAGGCCUUCGGGUUGUAAAGCACUUUCAGUGGGGAAGAAAGCCUUGGGGCUAAUACCCUCGAGGAAGGACAUCACCCACAGAAGAAGCACCGGCUAACUCCGUGCCAGCAGCCGCGGUAAUACGGAGGGUGCGAGCGUUAAUCGGAAUUACUGGGCGUAAAGCGCGCGUAGGCGGUCUGAUAAGCCGGUUGUGAAAGCCCCGGGCUCAACCUGGGAACGGCAUCCGGAACUGUCAGGGUAGAGCGCAUGAGAGGAAGGUAGAAUUCCCGGUGUAGCGGUGAAAUGCGUAGAGAUCGGGAGGAAUACCAGUGGCGAAGGCGGCCUUCUGGACUGACACUGACGCUGAGGUGCGAAAGCGUGGGUAGCAAACAGGAUUAGAUACCCUGGUAGUC